AGAAGCCUCACAAAAGACUUUAGACUUUGAGGAUUUUGUGUGUGUAGGUCACUCUCCAAUCUAGCCUCCCUGAUCUCUCUCUCUUUGUUCUUUUUAAAAGAAACACCAACAAUUCCAAGGCUGCUUCAAAAGGAGUAAAGGUGAAAUGAAGAAACAUCUCAGGACUGCCCGACAGAGAAAUGCGGAAGGCAGGAAGGAGGGGCAUGCCAGCCAGCUGCCUUGGUGGCUGCGUCAAGGCCUCAGCUUGUGGUGCCUUACAAGUUGCUGAAAGAAUGUUGCCUGGAGGAAGGCUUUCUGGGUUAAGACACGCUAUGGAUUCAGCCUUCCCGUGUACGGUCUCAACAUAAAAGGGUGAUCCAAUAUCAGCAGAAACGGAUUCCAAUACAUCGGGCUGCCUCGGAGUCAUCUGGGGACAAUUACCAGAAAUAUCAAAUCCCGGGCCCCACUCCCAGUCAUUCGGAUUCAGUAAGACCCUGAGACAGGGCCCACAAUUCUGCAUUUGUGACAAGUGUCCCAAGUGACUCUGAAGCAAGAAGCCAUGAACACUGCUCCAUGAAACACUUCUCAUGACAGCACAGAGUAGUCAUGUUCCUUCUGAUUCUGAGCUCGAGAAGACCUGGGAAACUUGGUGCCUCAGGUGCCCUCAAGACCCCGAUGACGAUAUGGCUGAGUUGAGAGACUGGCUGCUUGAUCCGGGCAGCUGCAAGCAGUGUUUCUGUCUUGGCCCCACUCCAACCUCUUGAUUUUCUGGCUUUCUACCCAUAACAUGGAACACCCCAUAUUUUGAGCUUUUGUCUUGCUGCCUGGGGACGUCCCGGACCUCUUGCAGUGGGAGCAGGAUGGCAAGGAGGAAGCUCGUGAGGAGAUAUUUGUGCUUUCAUACCUAAAAUUGAACAUCCUUGGAGACACCUUUGCUGUUUCAUAUCCAGCCUCUUGUUGGUUGAGAGGACGAUGGCUCUUGAGGGGACCCCAUCUCCGUGUUCUCCUAGUCACCAGGGGCUGGCUGGAAAGCAUGGUUAAGGAAAGAUCAAGAGCGAGUCCAGGGGCAGACCAACACUCCCCAGGCUUCCACGACCGAGUUGAAAGCAGAAGCUGGAGGAGUUCGUUCCCAGCACGAAAUCCCCAGGGCAAGGUUCAAAAUCCCACACCGGGCGGAGCCAGCUUGGUGCCUCCUUGAGGACGGCAGAUGCCAAGAACCAAGUGGAGCCAGAGGAAUCGAAUGUCUAAAUGGGGAGUGAGAGACCGUUCUCUCAGGACAAGAAUCUGAGUCUGUCCUGCCACCAGGCCCCAAGGGCACCAAGUCCCUAGGCCAAGGCUGCCGUUCCUUGCAAGGACACAGCCCAUGCCUGCAACCGUGUGAGCUCUGCUCUGCUCCCGCUGCCACCAAACUCCAUUUUGAGGGGCAACAUCCUUUCUUUUAAGGAAAAGACAGAGCUUUCUCUCCUCCACAAAUUUUAUAGUCAUACAUUCCCUCAUGAUUGAAAAUGAUGAGUUCAAGUUAAUGAAUGAGAUCAUCAGGACGGCAGAGAAAUUGGGGCUCGCACAUAUUCCUUGAAAUAUCUUCUGAUGUGAGCAUGUGUGGAGGUGAAGAGGAAGGUGGUCUCUGGGCUGGAAAACUGAAUUCUGGCUAGCUUACGUUAGAUCAUUGUUGAGAACAAGGAACCGAGCAGGAAGUUUCUAAGUGGAUUGGGGAAGGCACAGUGUUACGGGUAGGUCAGGGCCAUUUGCAGGGGUGCUCUAUCUCCACUCCCCUCUUUUCCUGCUUCUGCCCAUACCUGUGGGAUCUCAUAUACCCAGUGAUGACAUGAGUGCUGACAACCUUUAACCCUCUAUCCCUUUCCCUGCUCUUCUGAGCUUGGAACUCAACUGUCUAUGGUUCACGCUCAUGUCCCCAGGCAGCCUUAAUACGCCACAGCCAACACGGAGAACGCAUCACCACGCUUCAGCAUCUACUGUGCCCACCAGCGCCAGCCCCUCCAUCAGUCCCAUCAUCCAAACAUACACCUGGAAAUGAGUCACAAACGCACCUUCCCCCUCUGCCCUGAAAUCCAAUCUGUUAGCCCAGCCAGCAGAUUAUUUUUUUUCUUUCCAUUCAUCGUCCUCAUCUUCUCUUCUUCCCAUCCCAUGCAUUAUUGCCUCCGUUCAGACCUUCCCCCCCAUCUUUCUCCUGGCCUUUUGCAGCUGCCACCUGACUGACUGGUCUCCCUGCUUCUACUCUGAUCCAGUCCGAGCCAUACUCCACACUGUUGCUGCAGUGGGCUUUCUGAUGCGACCCUCAAACGUCUUCACCUUACCCAUAAGAUGAAGUCCAUACUCCUCACGAAAGCAGGCAAAGCUCCCCUUGAUCUGGACACUGUCUAGCUCUCCAGCUUUCUCUUUUACUUCCCUUUUCUAACCUCUUUCCCCAGUAUACGGUAUCGUGCACCUGCUUUGUGCCAGGACCAUGUCGGUGCUGAAGAGACAGCGGUAAACACGACUGUCACGUGCACCUUACAUCCGUCCACACAGAGCACAGUGCCUUUGCUCACUCACUUCUCUCCACGGCUCUGAGACCACACAUUCUCCACCACUUCUACUGACAGAAACACACUCAUCUUUCAAGACUCAGCUUCCAGUCCCUUCCUUUCUGGGCCUAGCCUGUGACUCCCCUUUGUGCCCCAACCGCUGCCCACGCAUGGGGCUGGAUUUGUGCAUUCUAAGUAUUCCAAGGCAGGUGCGGCCACAUCCUCCCUGUGUGAUCUUGGCCAACUCACUGUGUUACAAUUUCCCAUAGAUGAAACAAAGACGAUGAUGAUAUCAUAGGGAAGGUUAAACUUUACCCGUCCUAGGCUUCAGCUGCAAUUCUUAAACUAAAAUAUCAACAAGAAGAAAAUGAUCAGUUUAUUAACAUGUGCAGCACACAUCACCCAGGAGAAAUCGGAACCAAAGUAACUUAAAGCAGUGGCUUAUCUAUCGUGUUCAACAAAGAACAGUUCAUCUGUAGGGGAGUGACAGGACAGAGGAGAGCCGCGGUAGGCGUCCCCGCGCCGUGGCCACCUGUGGGAAGGGUAUAUGGGAGGGAGCUAGGGGCCAGAUUUGUUUGCAGCUUCCUCUGGUGCCACCUCGGGGCUGACAAGAGCCUGUCACCAGUAGAAGGAGAAUUUCUAUCUUGACUUGAGGCAGAAAAAGAGGAGCUUUUCUGAGUUUGUUUCUUCUUAAUUGCCUUUAGCUCAAAAUUAUUUUUUAAGAGAUUCUAUUUAUUUAUUUGAGAGAGAGAGAGCACACGAGGGAGAGGGAGAA